CGAGGAGAAGUGAUGAUGUCUUAUCCAUACCAAAUGUCUGCAUCUCAGAUGAUGAUUAAUCUACAUCAUGCACUACCAUCUGAUCUCCUCG
rnacentral:snoRNA from 1 species